rnacentral:lncRNA from 1 species
CAGGCCUUUAGUACGCUUCUUACCCGAACAGCGCACCUGCAACCUGCGGCCUCACCUCCACCUUAUGUACCUCCACCUAUAGUACACAAGGCACCUACUAUCUCCCUAUCUCCUCCCCUGCAGUUUGAUGGUAAUAUUCAAGAAUGCCUGGGAUUUCUUAACCAAAUGGAGUAUCAUUUUUGAGGCCUCACCGGGAUCUUUUCC